rnacentral:rRNA from 1 species
UUCUGCUCAAUGGUUUAUCUAAAUAGCCGCAGUACCCUGACUGUGCAAAGGUAGCAUAAUCAGUUGGCUUAUAAUUGAAGUCUAGUAUGAAUGAAUAAAUGGGUAAAAUCUGUCUCACAAAAAUAACAAAAACUUACUUAGGAAGUGCAAAUUCUUCUAAAAAUCUAAUAGACGAGAAGACCCUAGAAAUUUUUUAAAUAUAAUUUAAUUUAUUUAAUUUUGUUGGGGCGACAGAGUAACAAUUAACUUACUUUAAGUAUCAGAAUUCGAUUUUAUGAAAAACUAAAUUACUCUAGGGAUAACAGCAUAAUUUUAAUAAGUUUGUGACCUCGAUGUUGGACUAGGAAACAUAUUAUUCAGAAGAUAAUAUGAAGUGCUCUGUUCGAGCUGCUCAACCUCCUACGUGAUCUGAGUUCAGACCGGA